CCUACGGGAGGCAGCAGUAGGGAAUCUUCCACAAUGGGCGAAAGCCUGAUGGAGCAACGCCGCGUGGGUGAAGAAGGUCUUCGGAUCGUAAAACCCUGUUGUUAGAGAAGAAAGUGCGUGAGAGUAACUGUUCACGUUUCGACGGUAUCUAACCAGAAAGCCACGGCUAACUCCGUGCCAGCAGCCGCGGUAAUACGUAGGUGGCAAGCGUUAUCCGGAUUUAUUGGGCGGAAAGGGAACGCAGGCGGUCUUUUAAGUCUGAUGUGAAAGCCUUCGGCUUAACCGGAGUAGUGCAUUGGAAACUGGGAGACUUGAGUGCAGAAGAGGAGAGUGGAACUCCAUGUGUAGCGGUGAAAUGCGUAGAUAUAUGGAAGAACACCAGUGGCGAAAGCGGCUCUCUGGGCUGUAACUGACGCUGAGGUUCGAAAGCGUGGGUAGCAAACAGGAUUAGAUACCCCAGUAGUC
rnacentral:rRNA from 1 species